AGUCAAGUAAUUAAGUGCAUGUGGUGGAUGCCUUGGCAGUCAGAGGCGAUGAAAGACGUGAUAGCCUGCGAAAAGCUCCGGGGAGGCGGCAAAUAUCCUUUGAUCCGGAGAUGUCUGAAUGGGGGAACCCACCUACUUUAAGGUAGGUAUUGCAACAUGAAUACAUAGUGUUGCAAGGCGAACGAGGGGAAGUGAAACAUCUCAGUACCCUUAGGAAAAGAAAUCAAUUGAGAUUCCCUCAGUAGCGGCGAGCGAACGGGGAUCAGCCCAUUAAGUUAUGUGUGUUUUAGUGGAACGCUCUGGGAAGUGCGAACGUAGAGGGUGAUAUUCCCGUACACGAAAGGGCACACAUAAUGAUGACGAGUAGGGCGAGGCACGUGAAACCUUGUCUGAAUAUGGGGGGACCAUCCUCCAAGGCUAAAUACUCCUGACUGACCGAUAGUGAACCAGUACCGUGAGGGAAAGGCGAAAAGAACCCCUGUGAGGGGAGUGAAAUAGAUCCUGAAACCGCAUGCAUACAAGCAGUGGGAGCACCUUCGUGGUGUGACUGCGUACCUUUUGUAUAAUGGGUCAGCGACUUAUAUUCAGUAGCAAGGUUAACCGUAUAGGGGAGCCGUAGAGAAAUCGAGUCUUAAUAGGGCGUUUAGUUGCUGGGUAUAGACCCGAAACCAGGCGAUCU
rnacentral:rRNA from 1 species